AAUUUAUUAAUUAUAAUUUAAUGAAAAUUUUAUUAAAUUAUAAUCUAAUUAAAAUAAUAUUUAUUUAUAGUAUUUUUUUAGGAAUUAAUAUAUUUAUAUUUAUAGUUAAUUUAACUGUAAUGGUUAAUUUAUUAUUAUAUUUUAAGUAGAAUAUUUUUUUGUACCUUUUGUAUCAGGGUUUAUUAAUUAAAAUUUAUUUAAACUUUAAAUUUCCCGAAUUUAAAAGAGAUAAUAAUAAUUGUUAUUUAAUGUUAUAAAAUUAUUAAUAAAUUAUUAUUAGAAGUUAUAUGCUAUUCAUUUUUAAAUAUCUGGUUUCUUAAUAAUUGAAUUUAAUUCAGAAUUAAUGCGUAAUUUAUAUAGUAAAUAUUAAUUUAUUAUAUAGUUUUAAUUUAAGUUUAGUAAGGAUAAGCUUUCUAAACUUUCUAUAAUUUAUGUAAAAUACUAAUAGUUUUGUAGGAUUAGAAAUUUUCAUCAUUUAUUUUGUAAUAAAAAUGUUAAAUAUAUUAUUUAUUUUUUUAGAUUUAGAUUUUUAUUAAGAUAUUUCAGUUAAUUUUUAAUUGAAAGUAAUAAUGAUAAAAUUAGUAAAAUUUAUAAAUUAAUAUAUAGUAAUUCGGCAAUUUUAUUCUCCACCUGUUUAACAAAAACAUGUCUUAAUGUUUAUUUUUAUUAAGUCUGGCCUGCUCAAUGAUUAUUAUAAUUAAAUAGCCGCAGUAUUUUGACUGUGCGAAGGUAGCAUAAUCAUUUGUCUUUUAAUUGAAGGCUUGUAUGAAUGGUUUAAUGAGAGAAUAACUUUCUUUAUAUUAAAAUUUGAAUUUAAUUUUUAAGUUAAAAAGCUUAAAUUGUUAAAAGGGACGAGAAGACCCUAUAGAAUUUUAUUUUUAUAUUUAAGGAAAAUCUUUUGGUUAUAAAUUAUUUUUAAAUAUGGAAAUUUUGUUGGGGCGACAGUGAGAUUAAAUUAACUCUCAUAUUUUAUUAUAUUAUAGAUUAGUAUAUUUAAGAUCCUUUAAUUAAGGAAAAUUAGAUUAAAUUACCUUAGGGAUAACAGCGUAAUUUUUUUGGAGAGUUCUUAUCGAUAGAAGAGUUUGCGACCUCGAUGUUGGAUUAAAAUUAGAUUUAAGUGCAGAAGCUUAAUUUUCUAGGUCUGUUCGACCUUUAAAUUUUUACAUGAUCUGAGUUCAAACCGGCGUGAGCCAGGUUGGUUUCUAUCUUUUUUAUUAAUUAUAUAAAUUAGUACGAAAGGACCAUUUAUAUCAAAUAAUUUGUUAUGAUUUAUUUAAUGAAUAAUUUUAAA
rnacentral:rRNA from 1 species